GAUGAAGAACGUAGUGAAAUGCGAUAAGUAAUGUGAAUUGCAGAAUUCAGUGAAUCAUCGAAUCUUUGAACGCACAUUGCGCCCGUCAGUAUUCUGGCGGGCAUGCCUGUUCGAGCGUCAUUACGCCCCUCAAGUCCCCUGUGGACUUGGUGUUGGGGAUCGGCGAGGCUGGUUUUCCAGCACAGCCGUCCCUUAAAUUACUUGGCGGUCUCGCCGUGGCCCUCCUCUGCGCAGUAGUAAAACACUCGCAACAGGAGCCCGGCGCGGUCCACUGCCGUAAAACCCCCCAACUUUUUAUAGUUGACCUCGAAUCAGGUAGGACUACCCGCUGAACUUAAGCAUAUCAAUAAGCGGAGGA
rnacentral:misc_RNA from 1 species